GACGAACGCUGGCGGCGUGCUUAACACAUGCAAGUCGAACGGAGAGGCCCUGCUUGCAGGGUACUCGAGUGGCGAACGGGUGAGUAACACGUGGGUGAUCUGCCCUGCACUUCGGGAUAAGCCUGGGAAACUGGGUCUAAUACCGGAUAGGUGCCAUUUUUAGUGUGAUGGUUGGAAAGUGGUUUUGGUGUAGGAUGAGCUCGCGGCCUAUCAGCUUGUUGGUGGGGUAAUGGCCUACAAAGGCGGGGACGGGUAGCCGGCUUGAGAGGGUGGAAGGCCACAUGGGGCUUCGGAAAGGCGCAGGAUGCAACCGGGGGCAACAGGGGGGAAUCUUGCCCAAAUGGGCGGAGGCUGGUGGAAGGGUUGCCGGGUGGGGAUGACGGCUUUCGGGUUGUAAACUCCUUUCGCUAGGGACGAAGCUUUUUGUGACGGUACCUAGAUAAGAAGCACCGGCUAACUACGUG
rnacentral:rRNA from 1 species